UACGAAGGAUCCGAGCGUUAUCCGGAUUUAUUGGGUUUAAAGGGUGCGUAGGCGGAUUUACAAGUCAGUGGUGAAAUCUCCCAGCUCAACUGGGAAACUGCCAUUGAAACUGUUUAUCUUGAGUACAUUUGAGGCGGGCGGAAUGUGUCAUGUAGAGGUGAAAUUCUUAGAUAUGACACAGAACACCAAUUGCGAAGGCAGCUCGCUAAACUGUAACUGACGCUGAGGCACGAAAGCGUGGGGAUCAAACAGG
rnacentral:rRNA from 1 species